AAAGAGUUCGUCGAGGUCUCGAGCACAGUUCAUUAUGUAGGGUUUGUGGACAUAUCUCAGAAGAUGUACUACAUGCUAUCAGGGACUGUAAUGCAGUGUGUAACAUUUAGAAUCUAUUAAUUCCCACUAAUUGACAAGACAUUUUAUUCUAACAAUCUGCAGGACUGGCUCACCUCAAACUUACAAAAUCAUCAUAAUUUGGCAAUGCUUUUUUGGGAUUAUUAUUUGGUGUAUAUAGAAG
rnacentral:lncRNA from 1 species